rnacentral:rRNA from 1 species
GUUGAACGCUAGCGGCAUGCCUUACACAUGCAAGUCGAACGGCAGCACGGGGGCAACCCUGGUGGCGAGUGGCGAACGGGUGAGUAAUGCAUCGGAACGUGCCCAUCGAUGGGGGAUAACUGCGCGAAAGCGUUGCUAAUACCGCAUACGACCUACGGGUGAAAGCAGGGGACCGCAAGGCCUUGCGUCGAUGGAGCGGCCGAUGCCGGAUUAGCUAGUUGGUGAGGUAAAGGCUCACCAAGGCGACGAUCCGUAGCUGGUCUGAGAGGACGACCCAGCCACACUGGGACUGAGACACGGCCCAGACUCCUACGGGAGGCAGCAGUGGGGAAUCUUGGACAAUGGGCGAAAGCCUGAUCCAGCAAUGCCGCGUGUGGGAAGAAGGCCUUCGGGUUGUAAACCACUUUUGGCGGGGAAGAAAUGGUCUGUGCUAAUACCACGGAUUGAUGACGGUACCCGCAGAAUAAGCACCGGCUAACUACGUG